rnacentral:rRNA from 1 species
UACGAGGGGCCCAAACGUUAUUCGGAAUUACUGGGCUUAAAGGGUGCGUAGGCGGCGCGGUAAGUCGGGUGUGAAAUCUCGGAGCUUAACUCCGAAACUGCAUUCGAUACUGCCGUGCUUGAGGACUGGAGAGGAGACUGGAAUUUACGGUGUAGCGGUGAAAUGCGUAGAUAUCGUAAGGAAGACCAGUGGCGAAGGCGGGUCUCUGGACAGUUCCUGACGCUGAGGCACGAAGGUCAGGGGAGCAAACGGG